AUGUCGUCAGGUCAGCAUCAACAGCAGCAGCACCACCAUCAGGAGCCCAUGCAAAUGCAGUUCCCGGAGGGGUCGCUGCAGCAAUGGCCGCCGCGGUUGGAGCCCGAGCCAGCUCCGAUGAUGUCGGCCGGGCUGGGCCUCGGGUUACCAUACGACUCUACUGACGGUCCGAUGGAGUUGCCGGAGCUCAUGAUGGGCCAGUCAUCACUGUUCAGCGCCAAGCCGGCCACGCUGGACUUCCCGGGGCUCGGGAUGAGCCCCACCGGCGCAACGACGAGCAGGGGCCUCCCGUGUUCAUGCAGCCUAUGGGCGGCGUGGUCGGCAUGGCCCGGACCGGCAACGGCGCGGCGGAGACGUUCGGCUCUGGACGGGGGCGCUCAGGCCAAGCCGUGGGAGAGGAACCCGAGCAGCUCGCCAAUCCUGUGA
rnacentral:rRNA from 1 species